UUAUAUUUUGGUAUGUAGUUUGACUAUAUACCCUUUUAAAUAAUUUAAUUUAUUAUAUAAUAACUAAUUUACUCCUUGUUAUCACUGUAUCUAUGAAAAUAUUAUGAUUUGCAAGAUGAAAAAAUGGUAAGUUUUUUGUUUGUUUAACCCCUGCCCCUGCCCUACUUUUAUUUUCAUUCAUUUCUGUGCUACUUACUAUGUUUAUAUUAAGUAAAUAUCUCAUGCUGGUAAUUAUUUUUUCUAUAGUUUUGCAAUUCUGACAGAUGUGAAUGGUAGCAUCAGAUGUUAACUGCUGGAUGAAACCAAAUGGUUGUUAAAGUCAAAAUAUAAUAUGGAUAUAUUACAUCGCAUGAAAGUGGAUGGGAACUUCUGGAUUAA